GACGAACGCUGGCGGCGUGCUUAACACAUGCAAGUCGAACGCUGAAGCACCAGCUUGCUGGUGUGGAUGAGUGGCGAACGGGUGAGUAAUACGUGAGUAACCUGCCCUUGACUCUGGGAUAAGCCCGGGAAACUGGGUCUAAUACUGGAUGCUACAUGUCACCGCAUGGUGGUGUGUGGAAAGGGUUUACUGGUCUUGGAUGGGCUCACGGCCUAUCAGCUUGUUGGUGAGGUAAUGGCUCACCAAGGCGACGACGGGUAGCCGGCCUGAGAGGGUGACCGGCCACACUGGGACUGAGACACGGCCCAGACUCCUACGGGAGGCAGCAGGGGGGAAUAUUGCACAAUGGGCGAAAGCCUGAUGCAGCGACGCCGCGGGAGGGAUGACGGCCUUCGGGUUGUAAACCUCUUUCAGCAGGGAAGAAGCCACAAGUGACGGUACCUGCAGAAGAAGCGCCGGCUAACUACGUG
rnacentral:rRNA from 1 species